AAGAAAGUGGAAGUAGACUUACAACAAUGGCUUUAGUGGCGGACUGGUGAGUAACGCGUAAGGAACCUGCCUUCUAGAGGGGAAUAACAAUGAGAAAUCAUUGCUAAUACCGCAUAUGCCGAGAGAAUCACAUGGUACAAUCGGGAAAAGAGUAAUCUGCUAGAAGAUGGCCUUGCGUCUGAUUAGAUAGUUGGUGGGGUAACGGCCUACCAAGUCGACGAUCAGUAGCCGGACUGAGAGGUUGAACGGCCACAUUGGGACUGAGAUACGGCCCAGACUCCUACGGGAGGCAGCAGUCGGGAAUAUUGCGCAAUGGAGGAAACUCUGACGCAGUGACGCCGCGUAUAGGAAGAAGGUUUUCGGAUUGUAAACUAUUGUCGUUAGGGAAGAGAAAGGACAGUACCUAAGAAGGAAGCUCCGGCUAACUACGUGCCAGCAGCCGCGGUAAUACGUAGGGAGCGAGCGUUAUCCGGAAUUAUUGGGUGUAAAGGGUGCGUAGACGGGAAGAUAAGUUAGUUGUGAAAUCCCUCGGCUUAACUGAGGAACUGCAACUAAAACUGUUUUUCUUGAGUGCAGGAGAGGUAAGCGGAAUUCCUAG
rnacentral:rRNA from 1 species